rnacentral:rRNA from 1 species
UACGUAGGGUGCAAGCGUUGUCCGGAAUUAUUGGGCGUAAAGAGCUUGUAGGCGGUCUGUCGCGUCUGCUGUGAAAAUCCGGGGCUCAACCCCGGACUGCAGUGGGUACGGGCAGACUAGAGUGUGGUAGGGGAGACUGGAAUUCCUGGUGUAGCGGUGAAAUGCGCAGAUAUCAGGAGGAACACCGAUGGCGAAGGCAGGUCUCUGGGCCACUACUGACGCUGAGAAGCGAAAGCAUGGGGAGCGAACAGG